rnacentral:rRNA from 1 species
ACGGAAGGCAGCAGUAGGGAAUAUUGCACAAUGGGGGAAACCCUGAUGCAGCAACGCCACGUGUGGGAAGACGCAUUUCGGUGUGUAAACCACUGUCGUGAGGGAAUAAGGACGCUUCUCGGAGCGUUUGAAUGUACCUCGAAAGGAAGCACCGGCAAACUUCGUGCCAGCAGCCGCGGUAAUACGAGGGGUGCAAGCGUUGUUCGGAAUCACUGGGCGUAAAGGGAGCGCAGGCGGAAGUGCAAGCGGUCUGUACAAUACCGGGGCUCAACCCCGGACCUGCAGACUGGACUGUUUCUCUUGGAUAGUUCAGGGGCAAGCGGAAUUCCUGGUGUAGCGGUGGAACGCGUAGAGAUCAGGAAGAACACCGAUGGCGAAGGCAGCUUGCUGGGGACUUAUCGACGCUCAUGCUCGAAAGUGCGGGUAGCAAACAGGAUUAGAUACCCUGGUA